rnacentral:rRNA from 1 species
UACGGAGGGGGCUAGCGUUGUUCGGAAUUACUGGGCGUAAAGCGCACGUAGGCGGCUUUGUAAGUUAGAGGUGAAAGCCCAGGGCUUAACCCUGGAAUUGCCUUUAAGACUGCAUCGCUAGAAUCGUGGAGAGGUGAGUGGAACUCCGGGAGUAGCGGUGAAAUGCGUAGAGACCCGGAGGAACACCAGUGGCGAAGGCGGCUUCCUGGUCUGCGACUGACGCUGUGGCGCGAAAGCUAGGGGAGCAAACGGG